UACAGAGGGUGCAAGCGUUGUUCGGAAUUACUGGGCGUAAAGCGCGUGUAGGUGGCGGCGUUAGUCGGGUGUGAAAUCCCUCAGCUCAACUGAGGAAGUGCACUCGAUACUGCGCUGCUUGAGUACCGGAGGGGAUGGCGGAAUUCCCGGUGUAGAGGUGAAAUUCGUAGAUAUCGGGAGGAACACCUGUGGCGAAGGCGGCCAUCUGGACGGUCACUGACACUGAGACGCGAAAGCGUGGGUAGCAAACAGG
rnacentral:rRNA from 1 species